GGGCUGGGGCUCAGCGGUAGAGCAUGCAUCUAGCACAUGUGAGGCCCUGGGUUCGAUCCUCAGCACCACA
rnacentral:tRNA from 1 species